GACGGAGCAAUACCGCGUGAGGGAUGACGGCCUGUGGGUUGUAAACCUCUUUUCUCAAGGAAGAAGUUCUGACGGUACUUGAGGAAUAAGCAUCGGCUAACUCUGUGCCAGCAGCCGCGGUAAUACAGAGGAUGCAAGCGUUAUCCGGAAUCACUGGGCAUAAAGCGUCUGUAGGUGGUUUGGUAAGUCUGCUGUUAAAGACUGGGGCUUAACCCCAGAAAAGCAGUGGAAACUGCCAGACUUGAGUGUGGUAGAGGUAAAGGGAAUUCCUAGUGUAGCGGUGAAAUGCGUAGAUAUUAGGAAGAACACCAAUGGCGAAGGCACUUUACUGGGCCAUAACUGACACUGAGAGACGACAGCUAGGGGAGCAAAUGGGAUUAGAUACCCCAGUAGUCCUAGCCGUAAACGAUGGAUACUAGAUGUUGCACGUAUUAACCCGUGCAGUAUCGUAGCUAAGGCGUUAAGUAUCCCGCCUGGGAAGUACGCUCGCAAGAGUG
rnacentral:rRNA from 1 species